rnacentral:rRNA from 1 species
UACGGGGGGGGCAAGCGUUGUUCGGAAUUACUGGGCGUAAAGGGCUCGUAGGUGGCCAACUAAGUCAGACGUGAAAUCCCUCGGCUUAACCGGGGAACUGCGUCUGAUACUGGAUGGCUUGAGUUUGGGAGAGGGAUGCGGAAUUCCAGGUGUAGCGGUGAAAUGCGUAGAUAUCUGGAGGAACACCGGUGGCGAAGGCGGCUCACUGGCCCGGUACUGACGCUGAGGUGCGAAAGCGUGGGGAGCAAACAGG